rnacentral:ncRNA from 1 species
GAUUGUCGAAGGAGAACGCCUUAAUUCACAAUC